UACAGAGGUCCCGAGCGUUGUUCGGAUUCACUGGGUUUAAAGGGCGCGUAGGCGGCCAUCUAAGUCAGACGUGAAAUCCCCCGGCUUAACCUGGGAACUGCGUCUGAUACUGGACGGCUCGAGUUUGGGAGAGGGAUGUGGAAUUCCAGGUGUAGCGGUGAAAUGCGUAGAUAUCUGGAGGAACACCGGUGGCGAAGGCAGCAUCCUGGACCAACACUGACGCUGAGGCGCGAAAGCUAGGGGAGCAAACGGG
rnacentral:rRNA from 1 species